GUAGCGGCACAGUCAUCUCUUGCACUCAUUUCUGCAACAUCUUAGUCAUGGUUUCUCGCGUCGUGUUGGUCGUGCUGGUGGUGGUCGUCCUAGCGGCCGCAGCACUGGCUCUCCCUGACCCCACCAAACGGCACUUGAGAUACGGCUUGUACGGAGGAUACGGAGGAUACGGCCUCGGAGGAUUUGGCUUGGGAGGCUACGGGGGCUACGGAGGACACGGCUAUGGAUCCCACUAUCCUUAUUACGGAUCCUACUAUGGAUAGAUAACGAAGGACCAAGUAAACGCCUUUAGUGUCACAUGGACUUCGUUUCCUGCCUUUCAGUUGGGUCGACGAAGUUGAUGAACACCUGUCCAGCCUUGGAUUUAUAUUUUUGAAUACCGUCUAAUAAAGCUUUAACUCUA